CGGGCAGUAGCUGAGUGGUAGAGCUCCCGCUUCGUAUGCGGGAAAAGCUGGGGUUCGAUUCCCGGCUGCUCAC
rnacentral:tRNA from 1 species